CACCGCGGUUAUACGAGAGACCCCAGUCGAUGGGCAACGGCGUAAAGGGUGGUUUGGGGUAAACUAUAAAUAAAGCCAAAGACCUUCUGAGCCGUUUUAAGUCCCACCGAAGGCGCGAAGCCCCUAGACGAAAGUAGCUUUAAAACCACCCCGACGCCACGAAAGCUAAGAAA
rnacentral:rRNA from 1 species